rnacentral:rRNA from 1 species
UACAGAGGUCCCAAGCGUUGUUCGGAUUCAUUGGGCGUAAAGGGUGCGUAGGCGGCGCGGUAAGUCGGGUGUGAAAUCUCGGAGCUUAACUCCGAAAUUGCACCGGAUACUGCGUUGCUCGAGGACUGUAGAGGAGAUCGGAAUUCACGGUGUAGCAGUGAAAUGCGUAGAUAUCGUGAGGAAGACCAGUUGCGAAGGCGGAUCUCUGGGCAGUUCCUGACACUGAGGCACGAAGGCCAGGGGAGCAAACGGG